rnacentral:rRNA from 1 species
UUAAGCGACUAAGCGUACACGGUGGAUGCCUAGGCAAUCAGAGGCGAUGAAGGACGUGCUAAUCUGCGAUAAGCGUCGGUAAGGUGAUAUGAACCGUUAUACCCGACGAUUUCCGAAUGGGGAAACCCAGUGCAAUUCGUUGCACUAUCGUUUGAUGAAUACAUAGUCAAACGAAGCGAACCGGGGGAACUGAAACAUCUCAGUACCCCGAGGAAAAGAAAUCAACCGAGAUUCCCCUAGUAGCGGCGAGCGAACGGGGAGCAGCCCAGAGUCUUAAUCAGCAUUAGUAUCAGGAGAACGGUCUGGAAAGUCCGGCAGUAAAGGGUGAUAGCCCCGUAUCUGAAGAUAUUAGUGUUGUGAACUCGACGAGUAGGGCGGGACACGUGUUAUCCUGUCUGAAUAUGGGGGGACCAUCCUCCAAGGCUAAAUACUCCUGAUUGACCGAUAGUGAACCAGUACCGUGAGGGAAAGGCGAAAAGAACCCCGGCGAGGGGAGUGAAAUAGAACCUGAAACCGUGUACGUACAAGCAGUGGGAGCCUUGAUUUAUCAGGGUGACUGCGUACCUUUUGUAUAAUGGGUCAGCGACUUAUAUUCUGUAGCAAGGUUAACCGAAUAGGGGAGCCGUAGGGAAACCGAGUCUUAACUGGGCGAAUGAGUUGCAGGGUAUAGACCCGAAACCCGGUGAUCUAGCCAUGGGCAGGUUGAAGGUUGGGUAACACUAACUGGAGGACCGAACCGACUAAUGUUGAAAAAUUAGCGGAUGACUUGUGGCUGGGGGUGAAAGGCCAAUCAAACCGGGAGAUAGCUGGUUCUCCCCGAAAGCUAUUUAGGUAGCGCCUCGUGAACUCAUCUUCGGGGGUAGAGCACUGUUUCGACUAGGGGGUCAUCCCGACUUACCAACUCGAUGCAAACUACGAAUACCGAAGAAUGUUAUCACGGGAGACACACGGCGGGUGCUAACGUUCGUCGUGAAGAGGGAAACAACCCAGACCGCCAGCUAAGGUCCCAAAGUCAUAGUUAAGUGGGAAACGAAGUGGGAAGGCUCAGACAGCCAGGAUGUUGGCUUAGAAGCAGCCAUCAUUUAAAGAAAGCGUAAUAGCUCACUGGUCGAGUCGGCCUGCGCGGAAGAUGUAACGGGGCUAAACUAUGCACCGAAGCUGCGGCAGCGAUAUGUAAAUAUUGUUGGGUAGGGGAGCGUUCUGUAAGCCUGUGAAGGUGUACUGUGAGGUAUGCUGGAGGUAUCAGAAGUGCGAAUGCUGACAUAAGUAACGAUAAUGCGGGUGAAAAACCCGCACGCCGGAAGACCAAGGGUUCCUGUCCAACGUUAAUCGGGGCAGGGUGAGUCGACCCCUAAGGCGAGGCAGAAAUGCGUAGUCGAUGGGAAACGGGUUAAUAUUCCCGUACUGGUGAUAAUUGCGAUGGGGGGACGGAGAAGGCUAGGCUGGCCGGGCGACGGUUGUCCCGGUUUAAGGAUGUAGGCAGGUGAAUUAGGCAAAUCCGGUUCACUAUAUGCUGAGGUCUGAUGACGAGUCACUACGGUGGCGAAGUAGCUCAUGCCCCGCUUCCAGGAAAAGCCUCUAAGCUCUAGAUUAUCAUUAAUCGUACCCCAAACCGACACAGGUGGUCAGGUAGAGAAUACUCAGGCGCUUGAGAGAACUCGGGUGAAGGAACUAGGCAAAAUGGUGCCGUAACUUCGGGAGAAGGCACGCUGGCGCUAGGUGAAGUGGUUUACCCAUGGAGCUGAAGCCAGUCGCAGAUACCAGCUGGCUGCAACUGUUUAUUAAAAACACAGCACUGUGCAAACACGAAAGUGGACGUAUACGGUGUGACGCCUGCCCGGUGCUGGAAGGUUAAUUGAUGGGGUUAUCCGUAAGGAGAAGCUCUUGAUCGAAGCCCCAGUAAACGGCGGCCGUAACUAUAACGGUCCUAAGGUAGCGAAAUUCCUUGUCGGGUAAGUUCCGACCUGCACGAAUGGCGUAAUGAUGGCCAGGCUGUCUCCACCCGAGACUCAGUGAAAUUGAACUCGCUGUGAAGAUGCAGUGUACCCGCGGCAAGACGGAAAGACCCCGUGAACCUUUACUAUAGCUUGACACUGAACAUUGAGCCUUGAUGUGUAGGAUAGGUGGGAGGCUUUGAAGUGUGGACGCCAGUCUGCAUGGAGCCAACCUUGAAAUACCACCCUUUAAUGUUUGAUGUUCUAACGUUGCCCCGUUAUCCGGGGUGCGGACAGUGUCUGGUGGGUAGUUUGACUGGGGCGGUCUCCUCCCAAAGAGUAACGGAGGAGCACGAAGGUUGGCUAAGCAUGGUCGGACAUCAUGCGGUUAGUGCAAAGGCAUAAGCCAGCUUGACUGCGAGAGUGACGGCUCGAGCAGGUACGAAAGUAGGUCUUAGUGAUCCGGUGGUUCUGAAUGGAAGGGCCAUCGCUCAACGGAUAAAAGGUACUCCGGGGAUAACAGGCUGAUACCGCCCAAGAGUUCAUAUCGACGGCGGUGUUUGGCACCUCGAUGUCGGCUCAUCACAUCCUGGGGCUGAAGUAGGUCCCAAGGGUACGGCUGUUCGCCGUUUAAAGUGGUACGCGAGCUGGGUUUAGAACGUCGUGAGACAGUUCGGUCCCUAUCUGCCGUGGGCGUUGGAAGAUUGAAAGGGGCUGCUCCUAGUACGAGAGGACCGGAGUGGACGCACCACUGGUGUUCGGGUUGUCAUGCCAAUGGCAUUGCCCGGUAGCUAAGUGCGGAAGAGAUAACCGCUGAAAGCAUCUAAGCGGGAAACUUGCCUUGAGAUGAGUCUUCCCUGACCCUUUAAGGGUCCUAAAGGAACGUUUAAGACUAAGACGUUGAUAGGUUGGGUGUGUAAGCAUAGCGAUAUGUUGAGCUAACCAAUACUAAUGAACCGUGAGGCUUAACCUG